GUAGCUCAGUGGUAGAGUGCUUGCCUUGCAUGCAUGAGGCCUGGGUUCAAUUCCUCAGC
rnacentral:tRNA from 1 species